rnacentral:rRNA from 1 species
GACGAACGCUGGCGGCGUGCUUAACACAUGCAAGUCGAACGGAAAGGCCCCUUUGGGGGUACUCGAGUGGCGAACGGGUGAGUAACACGUGAGUAACCUGCCCUUGACUUCGGGAUAACUUCAGGAAACUGGGGCUAAUACCGGAUAGGAAUCCUUGCUGCAUGGUGGGGGUUGGAAAGCUUCGGCGGUUUUGGAUGGACUCGCGGCUUAUCAGCUUGUUGGUGGGGUAGUGGCUUACCAAGGCUUUGACGGGUAGCCGGCCUGAGAGGGCGACCGGCCACAUUGGGACUGAGAUACGGCCAAGACUCCUACGGGGGGCAGAAGGGGGGAAUAUUGCCAAAGGGGGGGAAGCCUGAGGCAGAAACGCCGGGGGCGGGAUGACGGCCUUCGGUUUUAAAACCGCUUUCAGCGGGGGCGAAGUUUGUGGUGACGGUACCUGAAGAAGAAGCACCGCCUAACUACGU